rnacentral:rRNA from 1 species
CCCUUAGAUGCUCUGGGCCGCACGCGCGCUACACUGGUCGAUGCAACGAGUUUCUUUCCUUGGCCGACAGGCCUGGGCAAUCUUUGAACAUCGAUCGUGAUCGGGAUAGAUUCUUGUAAUUUUUGAUCUUAAACGAGGAAUUCCUAGUAAACGCAAGUCAUCAGCUUGCAUUGAUUACGUCCCUGCCCUUUGUACACACCGCCCGUCGCUCCUACCGAUUGAGCAAACCGGUGAAUAGUUUGGACCGUCGGCUUUCUCGGUUCGCCGGGUUAGCAGUGCGGAAAAUUCAGUGAACCUUUUUGCUUAGAGGAAGGAGAAGUCGUAACA